GACGAACGCUGGCGGCGUGCUUAACACAUGCAAGUCGAACGGAAGGGCCUGCUUUCCCUUGUGGAUUGCGGGUACUCGAGUGGCGAACGGGUGAGUAACACGUGGGUGAUCUGCCCCCAACUUGGGUAUAAGCCUGGGAAACUGGGUCUAAUUCCCGAUAGGACUGCAGGGUGGUGCCUGUGGUGGAAAACGAUUUUCUAGUGGUUGGGGAUGAGCUCGCGGCCUAUCAGCUUGUUGGUGGGGUAAUGGCCUACCAAGGCGGCGACGGGUAGCCGGCCUGAGAGGGUGGACGGCCACAUUGGGACUGAGAUACGGCCCAGACUCCUACGGGAGGCAGCAGUGGGGAAUAUUGCACAAUGGGCGGAAGCCUGAUGCAGCGACGCCGCGUGGGGGAUGACGGCCUUCGGGUUGUAAACUCCUUUCGACCGCGAGGAAGCCACCUGGUUGGAAGGGUGGUGACGGUAGUGGUAGAAGAAGCACCGGCUAACUACGUG
rnacentral:rRNA from 1 species